rnacentral:rRNA from 1 species
CGCGAAAGUUCCCUUCGGGGAGCAAGUAGAGUGGCGCACGGGUGAGUAACACGUAGGUAAUCUACCUUUGGAUUGGGAAUAACACCGAGAAAUCGGUGCUAAUACCGAAUAAUGCAGCGGCACCUAAUGGUGACAGUUGUUAAAGCGGGGGAUCGCAAGACCUCGCGUCUAAAGAGGAGCCUGCGGCGGAUUAGCUAGUUGGUAAGGUAACGGCUUACCAAGGCGAUGAUCCGUAGCCGGCCUGAGAGGGCGGUCGGCCACACUGACACUGACAUACGGGUCAGACUCCUACGGGAGGCAGCAGUCGGGAAUUUUGGGCAAUGGGCGAAAGCCUGACCCAGCAACGCCGCGUGAAGGAUGAAAUCCCUCGGGAUGUAAACUUCGCAAGAACGGGAAGAAUAAGUCGGUGCUAACACCAUCGGCGAUGACGGUACUGUUUGUAAGCUCC